rnacentral:rRNA from 1 species
AGUGAAGCGGGAUGAGCUCAAAUUUAAAAUCUGGCUGGUUUACUAGUCCGAAUUGUAGUUUAAAGAAGCGUUUUCCGUGGCAGCCUGGGUAUAAAUCCUUUGGAACAGGGUAUCAUAGAGGGUGAGAAUCCGUCUUUGACUCAGUGCAUGCUACUAUGUGAUACGUUUUCAAAGAGUCGAGUUGUUUGGGAAUGCAGCUCAAAUGGGUGGUAAAUUUCUCUAAGGCUAAAUAUUGGCAGAGACCGAUAGCGAACAAGUACCGUGAGGGAAAGAUGAAAAGAACUUUGAAAAGAGAGUUAAACAGUGCGUGAAAUUGUUGAAAGGGAAACGCUUGACACCAGUCAUGCGAGCGGAAAAUCAGUCUUUUGCAGUGGGGAGUUGUGUGGGUUCGGACCGCAAGGCCGGCCUGCGCUGCAUCUCUGCUGUAAGUGAUGCACUUUUUCGUUUGCAGGCCAACAUCAGUUUCUUCUGCUGGACAAAACUCUUGAGAAGGUAGCAGCUUUGGCUGUGUUAUAGCUCUUGAGCGAUACAGUGGAGGGGACUGAGGUUUUCGCAGCGCGUGCUCUCGGGCAAGGCUGAUUGGGUGCUAUGGGAUCGUUCGGUGUACAAUGCAUGCAUUUUGCGCCGUGUCUUUUCUAUACUCGCUCAACUCGGCUCUUCCGCGCUUAGGAUGUUGGCUUAAUGGUUUUAAUC